rnacentral:rRNA from 1 species
AGAGUUUGAUCAUGGCUCAGAGCGAACGCUGGCGGCAGGCUUAACACAUGCAAGUCGAACGGGCACUUCGGUGCUAGUGGCAGACGGGUGAGUAACACGUGGGAACGUACCUUUCGGUUCGGAAUAAUUCAGGGAAACUUGGACUAAUACCGGAUAAGCCCUUCGGGGGAAAGAUUUAUCGCCGAUAGAUCGGCCCGCGUCUGAUUAGCUAGUUGGUGAGGUAAUGGCUCACCAAGGCGACGAUCAGUAGCUGGUCUGAGAGGAUGAUCAGCCACAUUGGGACUGAGACACGGCCCAAACUCCUACGGGAGGCAGCAGUGGGGAAUAUUGGACAAUGGGCGAAAGCCUGAUCCAGCCAUGCCGCGUGUGUGAUGAAGGCCUUAGGGUUGUAAAGCACUUUUGUCCGGGAAGAUAAUGACUGUACCGGAAGAAUAAGCCCCGGCUAACUUCGUGCCAGCAGCCGCGGUAAUACGAAGGGGGCUAGCGUUGCUCGGAAUCACUGGGCGUAAAGGGCGCGUAGGCGGACUCUUAAGUCGGGGGUGAAAGCCCAGGGCUCAACCCUGGAAUUGCCUUCGAUACUGAGAGUCUUGAGUUCGGAAGAGGUUGGUGGAACUGCGAGUGUAGAGGUGAAAUUCGUAGAUAUUCGCAAGAACACCAGUGGCGAAGGCGGCCAACUGGUCCGAUACUGACGCUGAGGCGCGAAAGCGUGGGGAGCAAACAGGAUUAGAUACCCCGGUAGUCC